GGAGUCUGGACCGUGUCUCAGUUCCAGUGUGGCCGAUCAGCCUCUCAGCUCGGCUACCCAUCGUCGGCAUGGUGGGCUGUUAUCCCGCCAUCUACCUAAUGGGACGCGAGCCCCUCUCAAUGCGGAUUCCUCCUUUGACCCCUCUGCCAUGCGACAGUGUGGUCUUAUGCGGUAUUAGCACCUGUUUCCAAGUGUUAUCCCCCUCAUUGAGGCAGGUUGCUCACGCGUUACUCACCCGUUCGCCACUAAGUGUACAAAGCACCAAUCACUCUCGUUUGCUUGUGUUGGUAUGCUUUUGGGCCUACAGACCGCUUCGCGGUCUGCGCGCUGUCGGAGCAAUUGGUGCUUCGUACACUCCGUUCGACUUGCAUGUGUUAGGCAUGCCGCCAGCGUUCGUC
rnacentral:rRNA from 1 species